rnacentral:tRNA from 1 species
GGAGUGGUAUCGAAGUGGUCAUAACGGGACUGACUCGAAAUCAGUUGAGCCUCUUUUGGCUCCGUGGGUUCGAAUCCCACCCACUCCG